CGAGGAGCGACCUUUGAAAUCCGGGAUGCGGGCCACGGGAAGGCCUUUUUGGGCCAUCUGCCCUUCACCCCUACCUGCAGCUCCAAGCGUCCCCCCCACGCCCUCUCCAUAAACCUGCGUGCGCCUCCCAUUCCCACCCGUUCCCGUCCUUUAUGCUCCAGUCCGACUGCAGUCACAGUCUUUCCCCGGGCAUCCCCAGCCGGGUGUCGGAGAUAUCUGUGCUUGAAGGGACGUGCGGGUCGUUAGAGAUUCGGGCCGCUGCAGGGACCGCAUUCCGGGUGAUUGCUGUUCUCUUCCUCCGAUCGAGGUCAGCUGCUCGGCGAGGAAGGGGAAGAGCUUCCCUCUUCCAGAAGACAGAAGAGGAGGAGGCUGUCCACCUCAGGACAGGACAGAUCAGCUGCUCGCCAGUUCCAGGGCAGAUCAGGAGCUCACCAGGUGCGUGGACCCCAGCUUCCCCCUGUCCCCAGGAGGUGAGGAGAUUUUGCAUCCGGUGACAGAUACAAACCCUCUCCUAUUAUGCUCGGAAGAUGAGGAGUUUUCUUCAUCUAGUUCCAGGGCAGAUCAGGAGCUCACCAGAUGUAUGGACACUAGCUUCCCCCUGUCCCCAGGAGGUGAGGAGAUUUUGCAUCCGGUGACAGAUCGACUCCUCAGCAGAUGCAUCGCAAGGACCCCCGUCCUAUACCCGGAAGAGGAGAAGAUUUUCCACCUAGUGACACGACAGAUCGUCUGCUCGGCAGAUGAGGUAACUGAGACACAGAGAGGUGAAGUGACUUGCCCGAGG